GCGGAGCUUGAUAUGUGCAACAUGUGCGGCCGAACAGGGCGGCAGUCUGCAGGGGGCGGCAUUUAAUUUCCUUUUUUUUUUUUUUUUCUAAAAAAAUUAUUAUUUUUAGCAUCAACCAAUACAUAAACAAAACAUAGAAAUCGCUUGUUCUUAAUAAUAAUAGUGAUGAUAAUAAUAAUAUUUCUGUAAUAAAAGCACAACAAAGUGUAACCCAUAUCAACUACUCCCUGUCACAUGACCCACGUCAGCUGAUGUGAGGUCCCUCUCCUGAUUGGCUCCUUCCAGUCGCGGCAAACAUGAAAGUUGCUCCUGCCGUGGCUGUAAGCUUGUUGCUUGUAGAACGGCGUUGGAAAACAAAGCGUUUUUCUCCCCUCAAUUCAUUUAUACUCUCAUUUUACCUCAGCGGUCAGGUUUUUUUUCCCCAUGUUGAACUGAUCUUCUUCAUAUUGAAGUGGCAAGCUGGUAGGACCAUUCUUUCUUUUUGGAAUCGGGAAAUGAGCUAUUAUUUACCCCAUGAAAAACGGAGCGGCAGCGGGCCGCUGGAGGUGCCCUGCUAGUAUGAUCCCGUUUAAACUGUAAACUGCCAUAAAAUAAAAACUAUAAUAGCUA